rnacentral:lncRNA from 1 species
CUAGAUGGGCGUCUGACUCUCCUUCUUCCCCUUGUCUCGCUUAAGGCUUCUAGUAUGUCUAGUCUCCUGCUGCAUGCACAAGAAACACAAACCCUAGUAGCACUUUUAUAAAAAUAAAAAUAAAAAGAUAAUAAAUAAAAAUAGAAUAUAUACAAAAUAUUUACAAUCAAGUCAAAGUUAAUCAGUUUACACUAUUAGCUAAGUUAAACCACAAGUCCCCGACAACGGCGC